GAUGAACGCUGGCGGCGUGCCUAACACAUGCAAGUCGAGCGAACGGACGAGAUGCUUGCUUCUUUCUUGUUAGCGGCGGACGGGUGAGUAACACGUGUAUAACCUACCUUUAAGACUGGGAAAACUUCGGGAAACCGGAUCUAAUACCGGAUGAUCUUUUGAACCAUUUGUUUCAAAAGUGAUAGACGGCCUUUGUGUAACUAAUAGAUGGAUCCGCGCUUCAUUAGCUAGUUGGUAAGGUACCGGCCUAACAAGGCAAUGAUGCAUACCCGACCUGAGAGGGAGGUCGACUACACGGGAAGAGAGACACAGUCCAGACUCCUGCGGUAGGCCGCAGUAGGGAAUCUUCCGCAAUGGGCGAGAGCCUGACAGAGCAACGCCGCGUGAGUGAUGAAGGUGUUCGGCUCGUAAAGCUAUGAUGUUAGGGGAGAACAAAUGUGUAAGUAACUGUGCAGAUCUUGACGGUACCUGAUCAAGAAGCCACGGCUAACUACGUG
rnacentral:rRNA from 1 species